rnacentral:lncRNA from 1 species
AGUGGGCCGUGCUGGCAAUGGCGCGGAGCGCAGGCACACUUGCGCGUGUCCAACGCCGGGGCCCGGCGGAAACCAGCGCAGAAAGGAUACCAGCCUUAGGAUGCAGGAAAAAAGGUCAGUGAAGACCGAAGGUUUUUCAAAUAGGAUACACGUCUAAUUCCUCUCAGAAAACCGGGGGGGAAUCUUGGACUAAUUGCUAGAUAAGGGAAACCAAACUGAUCCAGACAAGACUGCCUGCCAACAUCAGGGACCAUGUCAGAUGCACAGCCAUCACCUUGCACCCCACAUAACAUACUGCUUCAACGAGAGGAGCCACAGUUCAGCACGCCGCCCCAGCCCAACAAUUGAGUGCAACCAAAAAAGUCUCUCGCAUCCCCUUUUCUCUACGCUUUCCUGUCACAAAGAAGGCCGACGUGCCGGGAAAAAGUCACAUCCCAAAAAACACACCCUAGGACAGGGAAAGCUCAAACCCAGGAACCUCCUGUUCAUGUCAGAGCAGUUCCUUG